UGUAGUUCGAGAACUCCGGCCAAGCACGUGCCAGCAGCCGCGGUAAGACGUGCGGAGUCAGUAUAAAGCGUCUUGACUGGGCCGGCAGAGCGUCUGAGCGUAGUGGUGAAUCCGGAAUUUUGGGGUAAUAGUCGGAGUAUCGUUUAAAUGAGAAGAGCCCGGCUAGAAAGCCGAUGGCGAAGGCACCCCCUAAGAGGUCACUGAAGCUCCAACGCGAAAGCUUGGGUAGCGAAGCGGAUUAGAGACCCGCGUAGUCCAAGCCGUCAACAAAUUGUACUUAAAAACUACAACGCCUGGUGAUACGGUGGCAACACUAUAAAUCAAAGCAAUUGGCAGUGAUAGAGAUGCGCUGUGGAACAUGCUGUUUAAUUCGAAGCAACGCGUAAGAUCUUACCACAUUUUUAAUA
rnacentral:rRNA from 1 species